CACGUAGGGCGCAAGCGUUGUCCGGAAUUAUUGGGCGUAAAGAGCUCGUAGGCGGUCUGUUGCGUCCGCUGUGAAAACUCGGGGCUUAACCCCGAGCCUGCAGUGGAUACGGGCAGACUAGAGGUAGGUAGGGGAGAAUGGAAUUCCACGUGUAGCAGUGAAAUGCGUAGAUAUGUGGAGGAACACCGAUGGCGAAGGCAGCCCCCUGGGCUAGCACUGACGCUCAUGCACAAAAGCGUGGGGAGCAAACAGG
rnacentral:rRNA from 1 species